rnacentral:rRNA from 1 species
GCGUUGUCCGGAAUUAUUGGGCGUAAAGCGCGCGCAGGCGGCUUCUUAAGUCUGAUGUGAAAGCCCACGGCUCAACCGUGGAGGGUCAUUGGAAACUGGGAGGCUUGAGUGCAGAAGAGGAGAGCGGAAUUCCACGUGUAGCGGUGAAAUGCGUAGAGAUGUGGAGGAACACCAGUGGCGAAGGCGGCUCUCUGGUCUGUAACUGACGCUGAGGCGCGAAAGCGUGGGGAGCGAACAGGAUUAGAUACCCUGGUAGUCCACGCCGUAAACGAUGAGUGCUAAGUGUUGGAGGGUUUCCGCCCUUCAGUGCUGCAGCUAACGCAUUAAGCACUCCGCCUGGGGAGUACGGCCGCAAGGCUGAAACUCAAAGGAAUUGACGGGGGCCCGCACAAGCGGUGGAGCAUGUGGUUUAAUUCGAAGCAACGCGAAGAACCUUACCAGGUCUUGACAUCCCGCUGACCGGUCUGGAGACAGGCCUUUCCCUUCGGGGACAGCGGUGACAGGUGGUGCAUGGUUGUCGUCAGCUCGUGUCGUGAGAUGUUGGGUUAAGUCCCGCAACGAGCGCAACCCUUGAUCUUAGUUGCCAGCAUUCAGUUGGGCACUCUAAGGUGACUGCCGGUGACAAACCGGAGGAAGGUGGGGAUGACGUCAAAUCAUCAUGCCCCUUAUGACCUGGGCUACACACGUGCUACAAUGGAUGGUACAAAGGGCUGCAAGACCGCAAGGUUUAGCCAAUCCCAUAAAACCAUUCUCAGUUCGGAUUGCAGGCUGCAACUCGCCUGCAUGAAGCCGGAAUCGCUAGUAAUCGCGGAUCAGCAUGCCGCGGGGAAUACGUUCCCGGGCCUUGUACACACCGCC